rnacentral:sRNA from 1 species
CGAUGGUGGCGAUUUUGGGGACAGAUGUCCGUGUCGUGGGUGUCCUGGGCCGGCGGCGUGGUCGGCGAUCGGGCCUCCUGCCCCCGGGGG